rnacentral:rRNA from 1 species
GACGAACGCUGGCGGCGUGCCUAAUACAUGCAAGUCGAGCGGACCGGCUUGGGGCUUGCCUUGAUUCGGUCAGCGGCGGACGGGUGAGUAACACGUGGGCAGCCUGCCCGCAAGACCGGGAUAACUCCGGGAAACCGGAGCUAAUACCGGAUAACACCGAAGACCGCAUGGUCUUCGGUUGAAAGGCGGCCUUUGGGCUGUCACUUGCGGAUGGGCCCGCGGCGCAUUAGCUAGUUGGUGAGGUAACGGGUCACCAAGGCGACGAUGCGGAGCCGGCCUGGGGGGGCGGCCGGCCACACUGGGACUGAGACCCGGCCCAGACGCCCACGGGAGGCAGCAGGAGGGAAUCUUCCGCAAGGGGCGGAAGCCUGACGGAGCGACGCCGCGGGAGGGAAGAAGGCCGUCGGGUCGUAAAGCUCUGUUGUGAGGGACGAAGGAGCGUCGUUCGAAGAGGGCGGCGCGGUGACGGUACCUCACGAGAAAGCCCCGGCUAACUACGUG